rnacentral:rRNA from 1 species
UACGAAGGGGGCUAGCGUUGCUCGGAAUUACUGGGCGUAAAGGGCGCGUAGGCGGAUAGUUUAGUCAGAGGUGAAAGCCCAGGGCUCAACCUUGGGCUUGCAGUGGAUACGGGCAGACUAGAGGCAGGUAGGGGAGAAUGGAAUUCCCGGUGUAGCGGUGAAAUGCGCAGAUAUCGGGAGGAACACCGGUGGCGAAGGCGGUUCUCUGGGCCUUGACC